rnacentral:rRNA from 1 species
UAGGGAAUCUUCCGCAAUGGGCGAAAGCCUGACGGAGCAACGCCGCGUGAGUGAUGAAGGUCUUCGGAUCGUAAAACUCUGUUAUUAGGGAAGAACAAUUGUGUAAGUAACUAUGCACGUCUUGACGGUACCUAAUCAGAAAGCCACGGCUAACUACGUGCCAGCAUCCUCGGUAAUACGGAGGUGGCAAGCGUUAUCCGGAAUUAUUGGGCGUAAAGCGCGCGUAGGCGGUUUUUUAAGUCUGAUGUGAAAGCCCACGGCUCAACCGUGGAGGGUCAUUGGAAACUGGAAAACUUGAGUGCAGAAGAAGAAAGUGGAAUUCCAUGUGUAGCGGUGAAAUGCGCAGAGAUAUGGAGGAACACCAGUGGCGAAGGCGACUUACUGGUCUGUAACUGACGCUGAUGUGCGAAAGCGUGGGGAUCAAACAGG